AUUGAACGCUAGCGGGAUGCCUUACACAUGCAAGUCGAACGGAGUGGGGAACGGGCGAGUAAUGUAUCGGAAGGAGCCCAGUAGAGGGGGAGAACUACGCGAAAGCGUAGGUAAUCACGCAUACAAGUGAACCGACCUAUAGGGGAUGAGCUAGCUGGUAGGGGAACGGAUCACCAAGGCGACGAUCCGUAGCUGGGUUGAGAGGACGACCAGCAACAAUGGGACUGAGACACGGCCCAGACUCCUACGGGAGGCAGCAGUGGGGAAUAUUGGACAAUGGGGGAAACCCUGAUGCAGCCAUCCCGAGUGUGCGAUGAAGGCCUUCGGGUUGUAAAGCACUUUUAGCAGGAAGGCGGUACCUGCAGAAGAAGCACCGGCUAACUACGUGCCAGCAGCCGCGGUAAUUC
rnacentral:rRNA from 1 species